rfam:Triticum urartu cultivar G1812 contig674402, whole genome shotgun sequence.
CUCUUACUCCCUCCGUCCAGAAAUACUUGUCAUGAAAAUGGAUAAAAGGUGAUGUAUCUAGAUGUAUCUUAGUUCUAGAUACAUCUCUUUUUAUCCAUUUUGAUGGAAAGGAUUUUUGGACGGAGGGAUUAUGAA